ACGAACGCUGGCGGCGUGCCUAAUACAUGCAAGUCGAACGCACGAAGUUGAAGAGCUUGCUCUUUAACCAAGUGAGUGGCGGACGGGUGAGUAACACGUGGGUAACCUGCCCAUUAGAGGGGGAUAACAUUCGGAAACGGAUGCUAAUACCGCAUAGUUUCAGGAAUCGCAUGAUUCUUGAAGGAAAGGUGGCUUCGGCUACCACUAAUGGAUGGACCCGCGGCGUAUUAGCUAGUUGGUGAGGUAAUGGCUCACCAAGGCAAUGAUACGUAGCCGACCUGAGAGGGUGAUCGGCCACACUGGGACUGAGACACGGCCCAGACUCCUACGGGAGGCAGCAGUAGGGAAUCUUCCGCAAUGGACGAAAGUCUGACGGAGCAACGCCGCGUGAGUGAAGAAGGUUUUCGGAUCGUAAAACUCUGUUGUUAAAGAAGAACAAGGAUGAGAGUAACUGCUCAUCCCCUGACGGUAUUAACC
rnacentral:rRNA from 1 species